UACCAGCACCCCGAGUGGUCGGGACGUUUAUUGGGCCUAAAGCAUCCGUAGCCGGUUCUGCAAGUCUUCCGUUAAAUCCGCCUGCUUAACAGAUGGGCCGCGGAAGAUACUAUAGAGCUAGGAGGCGGGAGAGGCAAGCGGUACUCGAUGGGUAGGGGUAAAAUCCGUUGAUCCAUUGAAGACCACCAGUGGCGAAGGCGGCUUGCCAGAACGCGCUCGACGGUGAGGGAUGAAAGCUGGGGGAGCAAACCGG
rnacentral:rRNA from 1 species